rnacentral:rRNA from 1 species
AGUCAAGUAAUUAAGUGCAUGUGGUGGAUGCCUUGGCAGUCAGAGGCGAUGAAAGACGUGAUAGCCUGCGAAAAGCUCCGGGGAGGCGGCAAAUAUCCUUUGAUCCGGAGAUGUCUGAAUGGGGGAACCCACCUACUUUAAGGUAGGUAUUGCAACAUGAAUACAUAGUGUUGCAAGGCGAACGAGGGGAAGUGAAACAUCUCAGUACCCUUAGGAAAAGAAAUCAAUUGAGAUUCCCUCAGUAGCGGCGAGCGAACGGGGAUCAGCCCAUUAAGUUAUGUGUGUUUUAGUGGAACGCUCUGGGAAGUGCGAACGUAGAGGGUGAUAUUCCCGUACACGAAAGGGCACACAUAAUGAUGACGAGUAGGGCGAGGCACGUGAAACCUUGUCUGAAUAUGGGGGGACCAUCCUCCAAGGCUAAAUACUCCUGACUGACCGAUAGUGAACCAGUACCGUGAGGGAAAGGCGAAAAGAACCCCUGUGAGGGGAGUGAAAUAGAUCCUGAAACCGCAUGCAUACAAGCAGUGGGAGCACCUUCGUGGUGUGACUGCGUACCUUUUGUAUAAUGGGUCAGCGACUUAUAUUCAGUAGCGAGGUUAACCGUAUAGGGGAGCCGUAGAGAAAUCGAGUCUUAAUAGGGCGUUUAGUUGCUGGGUAUAGACCCGAAACCAGGCGAUCUAUCCAUGAGCAGGUUGAAGGUUGGGUAACACUAACUGGAGGACCGAACCCACUGUCGUUGAAAAGCCAGGGGAUGACUUGUGGAUAGGGGUGAAAGGCUAAUCAAGCCUGGUGAUAGCUGGUUCUCCCCGAAAGCUAUUUAGGUAGCGCCUCGGACGAAUACCAUAGGGGGUAGAGCACUGUUUCGGCUAGGGGGUCAUCCCGACUUACCAAACCGAUGCAAACUCCGAAUACCUAUGAGUACUAUCCGGGAGACAGACUGCGGGUGCUAACGUCCGUAGUCAAGAGGAAAACAAUCCAGACCGCCAGCUAAGGCCCCAAAAUCAUAGUUAAGUGGGAAACGAUGUGGGAAGGCAUAGACAGCUAGGAGGUUGGCUUAGAAGCAGCCACCCUUUAAAGAAAGCGUAAUAGCUCACUAGUCGAGUCGGCCUGCGCGGAAGAUGUAACGGGGCUAAAACUAUGUGCCGAAGCUGCGGAUGUAUACUUUGUAUACGUGGUAGGGGAGCGUUCUGUAAGCCGAUGAAGGUGUGUUGAGAAGCAUGCUGGAGGUAUCAGAAGUGCGAAUGCUGACGUGAGUAACGACAAAACGGGUGAAAAACCCGUUCGCCGAAAGACCAAGGGUUCCAGUCCAACGUUAAUCGGGGCUGGGUGAGUCGACCCCUAAGGCGAGGCCGAAAGGCGUAGUCGAUGGGAAAAUGGUUAAUAUUCCAUUACUUCUGUGUAAUGCGAUGAGAGGACGGAGAAGGCUAAAUCAGCCUGGCGUUGGUUGUCCAGGUGAAAGGAUGUAGGCAUGUAUCUUAGGCAAAUCCGGGGUACUCUAUGCUGAGAUCUGAUAGCAAGCUGUACUUGUACAGCGAAGUGGUUGAUGCCAUGCUUCCAGGAAAAGUCUCUAAGCUUCAGUUACACAGGAAUCGUACCCGAAACCGACACAGGUGGUCAGGUCGAGUAGACCAAGGCGCUUGAGAGAACUCUGCUGAAGGAACUAGGCAAAAUGGUACCGUAACUUCGGGAGAAGGUACGCUGUUGUUGGUGAUGGAACUCGCUUCCUGAGCUGACGACAGCCGCAGAAACCAGGCCGCUGCAACUGUUUAUUAAAAACAUAGCACUCUGCAAACACGAAAGUGGACGUAUAGGGUGUGAUGCCUGCCCGGUGCUGGAAGGUUAAUUGAUGGGGUUAGCGUAAGCGAAGCUCUUGAUCGAAGCCCCAGUAAACGGCGGCCGUAACUAUAACGGUCCUAAGGUAGCGAAAUUCCUUGUCGGGUAAGUUCCGACCUGCACGAAUGGCAUAAUGAUGGCGGCGCUGUCUCCAGCAGAGGCUCAGUGAAAUCGAAAUCGCUGUGAAGAUGCAGUGUACCCGCGGCUAGACGGAAAGACCCCGUGAACCUUUACUGCAGCUUGACACUGAACUUUGACCUUACUUGUGUAGGAUAGGUGGGAGGCUUUGAAGCUGGAACGCUAGUUCCAGUGGAGCCGUCCUUGAAAUACCACCCUGGUAAUGUUGAGGUUCUAACUCUGUCCCGUGAUCCGGGACGAGGACCGUGUCUGGUGGGUAGUUUGACUGGGGCGGUCUCCUCCUAAAGAGUAACGGAGGAGUACGAAGGUGCGCUCAGCGUGGUCGGAAAUCACGCGUAGAGUAUAAAGGCAAAAGCGCGCUUAACUGCGAGACCCACAAGUCGAGCAGGUACGAAAGUAGGUCUUAGUGAUCCGGUGGUUCUGUAUGGAAGGGCCAUCGCUCAACGGAUAAAAGGUACUCUGGGGAUAACAGGCUGAUACCGCCCAAGAGUUCAUAUCGACGGCGGUGUUUGGCACCUCGAUGUCGGCUCAUCUCAUCCUGGGGCUGAAGCAGGUCCCAAGGGUAUGGCUGUUCGCCAUUUAAAGAGGUACGCGAGCUGGGUUUAGAACGUCGUGAGACAGUU